UACGGAGGGUGCAAGCGUUAUCCGGAUUCACUGGGUUUAAAGGGUGCGUAGGUGGGUCUGUAAGUCAGUGGUGAAAUCUCCGAGCUUAACUUGGAAACUGCCAUUGAUACUACAGAUCUUGAAUAUUGUGGAGGUCAGCGGAAUAUGUCAUGUAGCGGUGAAAUGCUUAGAUAUGACAUAGAACACCAAUUGCGAAGGCAGCUGGCUACACAUAUAUUGACACUGAGGCACGAAAGCGUGGGGAUCAAACAGG
rnacentral:rRNA from 1 species